rnacentral:rRNA from 1 species
AUUGAACGCUGGCGGCAGGCCUAACACAUGCAAGUCGAGCGGAUGAAGGGAGCUUGCUCCUGGAUUCAGCGGCGGACGGGUGAGUAAUGCCUAGGAAUCUGCCUGGUAGUGGGGGAUAACGUCCGGAAACGGGCGCUAAUACCGCAUACGUCCUGAGGGAGAAAGUGGGGGAUCUUCGGACCUCACGCUAUCAGAUGAGCCUAGGUCGGAUUAGCUAGUUGGUGGGGUAAAGGCCUACCAAGGCGACGAUCCGUAACUGGUCUGAGAGGAUGAUCAGUCACACUGGAACUGAGACAGGGUCCAGACUCCUACGGGAGGCAGCAGUGGGGAAUAUUGGACAAUGGGCGAAAGCCUGAUCCAGCCAUGCCGCGUGUGUGAAGAAGGUCUUCGGAUUGUAAAGCACUUUAAGUUGGGAGGAAGGGCAGUAAGUUAAUACCUUGCUGUUUUGACGUUACCAACAGAAUAAGCACCGGCUAACUUCGUG